UAGCAACUGUUAUUUUCAUCGCAAAUUAUCUUUUUUAUGAAUAAUUUUUUUUAUUUUUAGUUUUUACGACUUAAAUAUUCAUCAUAAAUUAAGGUUAUUUGCAAUGAAAAUAGACUUUUUGUCCUAAAAUAUUAUCAACGACGGUAUUUUUUACGAUGAAAUUUUAGCGACGAACUUUUCAUCGCUAAUUAUUAUUAGCGACGAAUUUGGCUUAUAAGCGAUAAAAAUUUUUCAUAGCUAAUAACUUAUUUUCUUGUAGUGUGGACCCAG
rnacentral:lncRNA from 1 species